rnacentral:tRNA from 1 species
GGGGGCUUAGUUUAAUGGUAGAACGGAGAUCUCCAAAAUCUCUGGUGGGAGUUCGAUUCUCUCAGCCCUCG